rnacentral:rRNA from 1 species
GAUUCAACUUGGUGACGAGUGGCGAACUGGUGAGUAACACGUGGGUAACCUGCCCCGAAGCGGGGGAUAACAUUUGGAAACAGGUGCUAAUACCGCAUAACAACCAAAACCACCUGGUUUUGGUUUGAAAGACGGCUUCGGCUGUCACUUUGGGAUGGACCCGCGGCGUAUUAGCUAGUUGGUGAGGUAACGGCUCACCAAGGCGAUGAUACGUAGCCGACCUGAGAGGGUAAUCGGCCACAUUGGGACUGAGACACGGCCCAAACUCCUACGGGAGGCAGCAGUAGGGAAUCUUCCACAAUGGACGCAAGUCUGAUGGAGCAACGCCGCGUGAGUGAUGAAGGGUUUCGGCUCGUAAAACUCUGUUGUUGGAGAAGAACGGGUGUCAGAGUAACUGUUGACAUCGUGACGGUAUCCAACCAGAAAGCCACGGCUAACUACGUGCCAGCAGCCGCGGUAAUACGUAGGUGGCAAGCGUUGUCCGGAUUUAUUGGGCGUAAAGCGAGCGCAGGCGGUUUUUUAGGUCUGAUGUGAAAGCCUUCGGCUUAACCGGAGAAGUGCAUCGGAAACCGGGAGACUUGAGUGCAGAAGAGGACAGUGGAACUCCAUGUGUAGCGGUGAAAUGCGUAGAUAUAUGGAAGAACACCAGUGGCGAAGGCGGCUGUCUGGUCUGCAACUGACGCUGAGGCUCGAAAGCAUGGGUAGCGAACAGGAUUAGAUACCCUGGUAGUCCAUGCCGUAAACGAUGAGUGCUAAGUGUUGGAGGGUUUCCGCCCUUCAGUGCUGCAGCUAACGCAUUAAGCACUCCGCCUGGGGAGUACGACCGCAAGGUUGAAACUCAAAGGAAUUGACGGGGGCCCGCACAAACGGUGGAACAUGUGGUUUUAAUUCGAUGCUACGCGAAGAAACUU